rnacentral:rRNA from 1 species
CCCUUAGAUGUCCUGGGCCGCACGCGCGCUACAAUGACUCACUCAGAAAGUUUUUCCUGAUCCGGAAGGAUUCGGGUAAUCUUCAUAGCAUGAGUCGUGUUAGGGAUCGAUCUUUGCAAUUAUAGAUCUUGAACGAGGAAUGCCUAGUAAGUGCAGCUCAUCAGGCUGUACUGAUUACGUCCCUGCCCUUUGUACACACCGCCCGUCGCUCCUACCGAUUGAAUGCUCAGGUGAGCCAUUCGGACCUUCAUCAUGCCGGUUUCCGGUUUUGAUGAGGGAAAGUCUUGCGAACCUUAUCAUUUAGAGGAAGGAGAAGUCGUAACA